UAUUUUCCAAGAAGUACUCGAUACGUUCUAGAAGAACUGGAGAAGAAAAAGACUAAGGAUUAUCACUCAGUUAUGCAGCUACCAGCUUACUGCAAAGCUGUCUGCAUCUUUGCCACCUGAGAUCAAAUUUCAUGUGUUUUAGCGUGCCAUACUUCGUCAAUGAAACAAACUGCAGUCACUUUGGAGAGGAAGAUGUUUCAAGCAAUACAAAGAACCAGCUGUCCAUGAUGAUGGAGAAACACUGGUGUAGUGCAGUCUAGUCUAAUUAGACAGAAAUAUCUGUCUUGGACUAAGUGGACAUCAUACUCUUGGCAUUUCUGUAAGUGAACAUCAAAAAGCUCAACCUCCAGCUGAUACCACGGUGGCUUGGAAGCAACUCCCUAGAAGUUCUUAUCAUCUUCAUGCCAGAUGCUGCACAGAAACUGAGCAGAUCCAUGGGACUUCAGUAGAAAACAGAGCAGGAACGUCUGGUAUGUUCUGUUAAAACAUGAUAGCUAAUAUCUCUUUCAAUACUCCUAAUGUACAGUUUAUAAUGUACUCCAUUGCUUCACCAUCUUUAGUCUAUUCCCUCAUAAGGUAGUAAACAUGCUAGAAUAAUUAGUAAGUAAGUAAGUGGGACAGUCUGCAGACAGGUAACAAACACUGAAAUAUACUUUUGUGAGGGAGGUUUUUCUUCAUCUGAAACUAGACAGAGAAAAAAAGGUGCUAAGAUUAGAGACAGGACAAGUUAAAUUCUGUCCCAGCUUUUCAGCAGGACUGAAAGUACCAUUACGUGCUGGAUGGCCAUUAAAUCUGCUGCUUGAUUGUUCCCUGGAUCCAUUGCUGCAUGUUCUUAAAACAUAAGCGUUACCCGUAUGCCUUAAGCUACAACAAGGUUACCAAGAGGCAGGGAAAUAAAGAGCUAGUACCAUUCUAUAUGUUUCUACCUUUCAUUUUGCCUUUUAGCUUCUGCCUUCCAAAUUCUUCAGAGUUUUCCUUUCUGUAGUCUGCACUUCCUGAGAAAGCACUAUCUGAAGCCCUGUGGCUAGGUCUAUACUUCAUAUAGCUGUGUAACACAGAGGGAGAACUGAGCAAGGUUGGGCUUUAGAAGCAAUUUAGGCUGGGUAAGGAGGGCGAGCUGUAAUUAAUCCUUCUUUGCUUAGUAAUUCAGAACUAAAGAAACAAUUUAGCCUAGUCCAAAACGGAAAAUUUUGUUAUGCUUGGUCACACGUAACAAAGUUACAUGGAACUGAAACUAAGGUAUUCUAAUAAU